GGUCAGUGAUGACAAGAAAAAAUACUGAUUGUACUAUUGAAUUGCUCACCCGUUGCUUUCCCAGCUCCCAGCAGCGUUUUUUUCCCUGCCCUAUCAUGUUCUAGUAAUGCCAUGAGAUAUUAUGAAACUGCUGAUACUGUACGGAUAAAGUUGGUACAUGCUGCCUACAGUGCCAGGGGGUUUGCACCAGCUAUAAUCCAACAAAGCUAGUCAAGGAGCUGUCAGUUUCGGGUUGGCUUAACGUGCAUGAUCUUAAGUUUUCAAGCUGAGACC